rnacentral:rRNA from 1 species
UAUUGGUCAAUGGCCGAGAGGCUGCACCAGCCAAGUCGCGUGAGGGAAGAAUGUCCUAUGGAUUGUAAACCUCUUUUGUCAGGGAGCANAGUCACCCACGUGUGGGUGUUGGAGAGUACCUGAAGCACAAGCAUCGGCUAACUCCGUGCCAGCAGCCGCGGUAAUACUGAGGAUGCGAGCGUUAUCCGGAUUUAUUGGGUUUAAAGGGUGCGUAGGCGGGUUAUCAAGUCAACGGUAAAAUCGUGGAGCUCAACUCCAUCCAGCCGUUGAAACUGAUGAUCUUGAGUGGGCGAGAAGUAUGCGGAAUGCGUGGUGUAGCGGUGAAAUGCAUAGAUAUCACGCAGAACUCCGAUUGCGAAGGCAGCAUACCGGCGCCCGACUGACGCUGAAGCACGAAAGCGUGGGUAUCGAACAGG